rnacentral:rRNA from 1 species
GCCUACGGGGGGCAGCAGUGGGGAAUAUUGCCCAAUGGGGGAAACCCUGAUGCAGCGACGCCGCGUGAGUGAGGAAGUAUUUCUGUAUGUAAAGCUCUAUCAGCAGGGAAUAGAAAAGAAGGUACCUGAAAAAGAAGCCCCGGCUAACUACGUGCCAGCAGCCGCGGUAAUACGUAGGGGGCAAGCGUUAUCCGGAUUUACUGGGUGUAAAGGGAGCGUAGACGGCGAUGCAAGUCUGAAGUGAAAGGCGGGGGCCCAACCCCCGGACUGCUUUGGAAACUGUAUAGCUGGAGUGCAGGAGAGGG